GGGUAAUAGUCAAUUAUAUACAUUUUAACAAAGAUAAACAAAAUGAAAAAAUCGUAAUUGAAAGACUUGGGCUGAUAAAAAAAAGAGCUGCAACAUUUACAUCAAAUAAAUUUGAUGAGAAUGACUAGUUUUGACAUGAACACAUUUGCUGGUGAUAACUUGUAAAAAAAAUAACUAUCAAGAUUUUUCAAUGACAGUUGAUUUAAUUACAAGUUGUGAAAUUUUUUGGAGUAUUUCCAUAAUGUUUCACAAUGGUCUGUUUCCCAAAUACUGACUUGGAUUCCAAUUCUAGAACUCUUUGAUGAGAAACCCUACACAUAUAUGUAGCAAAAUUGUAUCCCUGCACAAAAUUCAUGAAGUGGUAUCAGUCAGUAAUUGAAAAAUAGAUUCUUCAUCUGCUAUUAAUGUUUUAUGAAUCAUAUAGUUUAUAAAAAGUAAAAUGUACAUUACCAUUAGCACAAUACAAGUACAUGGUAAAACAAAUUCAAGUAGAUUUCAAACAAUUAAUACUUUAACGUAAUAACAAAUGUAUAAGUUCCCCGCAUCAAACUACAUAAAAAAUAUAUAAGUUCCAGCAUCAAACAAAAUAUUGCACCUGCUAUCAUUAACUUUAAAAAAUUCAAACAAAAAUUGUGUAUAUAACAUUGAUAAUAUAUGUAAUUAGGGUAGUACUGGGUAGUUUUAUUUACAACAUGACCAUACCUUCACUUACCUUUUAUUGUGCAACAAAUCAAUAUCAUUUGAGUUUAUAUAGAAAUUGUUGAUAAACAUAUAUAAAGAUGACUAAAAACAUACUGAUGGAAUCAAUGAUGUUUGUGUGAUAUAAGCCCUUGCUUUUUAACUGACCUUGAAAUCAGUAGUUGAUAUUACACAUUUUUUUUGGUGGAAAUAUAACAUAUAAAUCUACAACUUAAAACGAUGAUACAUGUAAUAUAAAAUAACAGAUUUCAAAACUAUUCAUACUGGAUGACAUACCUUACAGCAAAAUGCCUUGAGUGUGAAGGUAAAGGUAAUAUCUUUUAUAAGCUUGCUUGCUUGCUGAACCAUGCAAUCAUUGUAUAGUUAGGUAUACUACCCUCCUUUUAGAGUAACCUAGUCCUACAGACAGAAAAAUUGGUUAUCUGUCAGACUAGUCUAUUCUUAAAGAAGGAAAGUAUACCUAACUUCAUAAUGACUUCACAGUUUAGCUAGCAAC
rnacentral:lncRNA from 1 species